rnacentral:rRNA from 1 species
UACGAGGGGUCCUAGCGUUGUUCGGAAUCACUGGGCGUAAAGCGUAUGUAGGCGGAUUUCUAAGUCAGGUGUGAAAUCCCACGGCUCAACCGUGGAAUUGCAUUUGAAACUGGAAGUCUUGAGUAUGGGAGAGAUUGGUAGAAUACCUGGUGUAGUGGUGAAAUACGUAGAUAUCAGGUGGAAUACCGGUGGCGAAGGCGGCCAAUUGGCCCAACACUGACGCUGAGAUACGAAAGCGUGGGGAUCAAACAGG